rnacentral:rRNA from 1 species
UACGUAGGGGGCGAGCGUUGUCCGAAGUUACUGGGCGUAAAGCGUACGUAGGCGGCCUGUUAAGUUACAUCUGAAAGGUGACAGCUCAACUGUCAACGGUGGUGUAAGACUGGCAAGCUUGAGGCAAGCAGAAGAGUGUGGAACUCCGAGUGUAGCGGUGGAAUGCGUAGAGAUUCGGAAGAACACCCAUGGCGAAGGCAGCUCGCUGGGACGUGACUGACGCUGAGACGCGAAAGCGUGGGGAGCAAACAGG